GUGUCAGCAGCCGCGGUAAUACGUAGGGUGCAAGCGUUAAUCGGAAUUACUGGGCGUAAAGCGUGCGCAGGCGGUUAUACAAGACAGGCGUGAAAUCCCCGGGCUUAACCUGGGAAUGGCGCCUGUGACUGUAUAGCUAGAGUGUGUCAGAGGGGGGUAGAAUUCCACGUGUAGCAGUGAAAUGCGUAGAUAUGUGGAGGAAUACCAAUGGCGAAGGCAGCCCCCUGGGAUAACACUGACGCUCAUGCACGAAAGCGUGGGGAGCAAACAGGAUUAGAUACCCUGGUAGUCCACGCCCUAAACGAUGCUGACUAGUUGUUCGGGAUUUACAUCCUGAGUAACGUAGCUAACGCGUGAAGUCAGCCGCCUGGGGAGUACGGUCGCAAGAUUAAAACUCAAAUGAAUUGACGGGG
rnacentral:rRNA from 1 species